rnacentral:rRNA from 1 species
AUUUGAUCUGAAAUCAGGCGGGAUUACCCGCUGAACUUAAGCAUA